GAUUAGUCUCGUAGUGACCUGCGGAGGGAUCAUU
rnacentral:rRNA from 1 species